rnacentral:lncRNA from 1 species
ACCAAUUCCGGACACAAUCUCAGCACUGUGGGAGACUGAGGCACCUGCCAAACCUGCACAGAUUCCUACAGCAGCCAGUUCGCUCUGUCUCGAGGCUUCAGAGGAACACGAACUUCUCUGAUGGAAGAGCCUUGUUCUAGAAGGGAGUGAAGCCUAGGUCUUUCCUGAGCACACAGAAGAUCAAGACCACACUCACUGACUUCUCAUAGUCAAGCAAUUUUGGCCAAUUAAAUGUCAGUUGGAAACUCCUGUGUCAGCUUCUCUGUGGCGGUGAGAAGUCCCUGUGUGACAUCCCAACUCUCCCCUCACCUGCGUUGGCAACCAAGAAAGCCUUGUGUUGGAGGUGGGGCCACAAGUUUAAAGCUAAGUUACCACCUCGAGGGCACAUUCCUGGAGAGCUUCCCAGGCCCACAGUGGCACGUGUAUGAGUGACAGAUCCACUUCUUUAUUACCUUUUUGAAGAACAGGAACCUUUGUCUGGAAAUUCCACAAGUAUGCCUUUUGCAAGAUUAAAAGUGCCACAAAGAACAAAAAUGAGCCCAGGACCAGAUGCAUGUUAAAAGCCAUCAGACACGUUAAGUUUCAUCUCCAUUGACCUGAGCCAGUUGGAGUGUGAGGCUUCAGAAUCGCCUUCCAACUCUCUGUGCACUGCACCAGCUGCUUCCCAUAGACUCCUGGUAAAAUAUUACCUAUGACUCCAGGAUUUGCCAGUGAAAGAAGUCAACAAUAUUUUAACUUUGAUCUUAACCAAAAGGCCAAGAAGUGAUGCUAAUAUUUUCAUAUACUACGACAGUUGCAGACACACGUCUAUCAUAGCUGGGUAGUAAUCCAGGCAACUCUGCCACAAGUCAUGGGCUCAGCCACCAGUCCACGAAGUCUCCAGUCACACAUAUUGCUUCGGACUAUUCUCUAUCCCCAGUUGUCAAUUAACUAAAAUAUUAAAUGAGGAUGCCAUGGAGUCCCCCAACUGAUUUCAUAAAUUUGGUGUCACAUUGUAAAUCAAGCAGCUGCAGAGUGGCUGGGACAUCUGUUUGGUUCUGUUAUUCUCUUUACUCCAAAAGGAAACUAACUCCAAAAGAAGAAAACCUGAUGUCUGAGCUGAAUCCUAAUCAUGAAGAUGUUUUUCCACCAUUCCUGUCUGUGUUUUUCUACCAUUCCUGUCUGUGUUUUUCUACCAAAGUGUGCUCUUGAAGUUCUGCAUUUCCCAGGGUGUGGUGAAAGAAGAGAAAAAAAUGUCCAAGAUGACUUCAACGUUCUGACCUUGAGUGGCUUGAGUGAAUGGAGUUACAACUGUGCAGAAAGAUUCAGUAGAGAGUUUUGGAUUUAUGCACCAGUAAGGGGAAAACUGAACAGCUGCAGAGAGCUGUAACUUUUAUAGGAGAUUAAUCUAUAAGAGAAGACAGCAAACUACAGCCUGUGUGUCAAAUCCUACUUGCCACGUCCACUGAAAGCUAACUACACUGGAACACUCUCAUUUCUGCAAAGAAAAAUAUCAUAUCCCAGGAUGAAAAGGAGGAGGAAGAGGAAAGGCUAACUUAACAAGAAGCUCUUUGACAUUCUUGAAUUAGACACCCAACGUAGUCCACGCAGUACGGAGGAUGACUUCAGAAGUGCAAUUCUGAUAUGGACUUUGUCUCCCUAAGGCUUUCAGUUCCUCAUAUUUAGGAUAAAACAGAAGUUUAUGUAAAGCCAAGGGAGAGGGUCACCGGGAGAGGGAAGGAGGAACAGCAGAAGGAGAGGUCCACACAUGAAAAUACUUGGAAGCGCCCCAGGGCCUAUCAGAUGCAGGUCUUGGCGGAAAUUACCAAACAUACUUUAGACAGGCUGCUGUGUUGCUGAGUGUGGACUGGCCUCAGGGCCUGCUGAUCAAAGCAAAAGGAAGCAGUGAAAAAAACAUCACCAUGUCUUCUUAGAGUCUAAUCUGGGGGCAAGAGGCCAGCAUGCACAGUUGGUGCUGAUUUUCUUGGGCGGAUAGAGGAAAGGUGUAGGCGUGGCCAACAUUUGAGCAGCAUGUGGUUCCUCUCACACGCCAUGCUGUUUCCGGCCUCCUUGCAUUUUACUCAUGCCAUCCUCCUGGUCACUUCUUUGAGAUAUUAAGUGCAUUCUUUAGGACUCAGACUCAGCUCAAGGGUCAGUGCAUCCAUGAAGCCUUACCUGGAUCCCAGAGGGAGCUCUGUGCUCCUCCUUUGUCUCCUAUAGGACCCAGUACAUGCGUCCAGUAUUAUCCAUACACACUGAAAUGAUCUAGCAUGUGUCUUCCCAUAGGAUUUCAAAUUCUUAGAAUAUAGGAGUGAUGCCUUCUUCCUACUUAUAUUUCCAGUGUUAACAGUGCCUGUCAAUUGACUUGAAGAUAACUAAAAGUCUGGUUGUUAAGGGCUGCUUCCCACCUCCAAAUACUUCCCUGGAAGUCAUUGUAUGGGCACUGACAUUGGUAGGUCUCCACUGGCUUGUAGAUGCUUCUGAUUAUAAGGUAGUCUCAGAUGCCUUCAGAAAGUUCUAAGACUGUAUAAAACAUUUCCUUCACAACCAAUAACUGUGUAUUAUUGUUCGUGUAAUUCCAGAAGUUAUCCUUUUGAUAGAGAGCAAUUACUUUAUUGAUUGAGAGUUAGCUAAUUAUGUAAUAAAGGUAAAGAUUUGCAUAGAGAAGUGUAAGAGACAUGGAGAAGAUUCUUGGUGGGUGGUGAGGGCGGGUACAUUUACACCAGACCAAGACUGAUCUGGCUGUGGCGCUGGAGAUUAAACUGUUUAAAUAUGGGAUCCUAAGAAGACUUCUGUGCAUUCUAGACUUCAAGAGACAGAUUGCAUUUUUUUUUAGGAAAUGUAGAUAAAACCCUUUGACUGAAUGACUCUAGAAAAUAAUACUGAUUUGAGAGAGAAAGGAAAUUCUAAAACAAAAUCCUGACAGCAGAGGCAUGAAUGAUCCUCAUGAGGAAGAAAUGAGACUCUGCUUAACUACACUGUAGAUUUUGGUGUGGAAGAAGAUGGAAGGUGGGUAUAUAGCCAAAUUUUGAAUACAAUAGGGCAGCACAAAACUGUGACAACAGUGGCAGAAGGACUGAAGUACAGAAUGUGUGAAAGUUGUUGUGAAAUAAAUAGAGAGCAACAGAAAAGGACUAUUUGGGCUGGGCAAUGGUAAUCCCAGAACUUUGGGAGGCUGAGUCAGGUGGAUCACCUGAGGUCAGGAGCUCAAGA